rnacentral:misc_RNA from 1 species
GAUGAAGAACGUAGCGAAAUGCGAUAAGUAAUGUGAAUUGCAGAAUUCAGUGAAUCAUCGAAUCUUUGAACGCACCUUGCACCCUUUGGUAUUCCGAAGGGUAUGCUCGUUUGAGUGUCAUUGUACUCUCACACUUCUAAUUCCUUUCGGGAUUGGGAGCGGUGGACUUGGGUGUUGCUGCUUUAGUUGUGGCUCACCUCAAAUAAGUUUGUGCAACUCUUGGUUGGACAUAGUACGGCGUGAUAAGUGUCUUCGCCGGCGCCUCUGUAAGGAGGGUGGCCGAUCGGGAGCUCUGUGCUUCAAACCGUCUUCGGACAAUCUUUGACAACUUGACCUCAAAUCGAGUAGGACUACCCGCUGAACUUAAGCAUAUCAAUAAGCGGAGGA